rnacentral:misc_RNA from 1 species
GUGAAUCAUCGAAUCUUUGAACGCAAAUUGCGCUUCCUGGUAUCCCAGGAAGCAUGCCUGUUUGAGGGUCAGUAUUAAUAAAAAAUCGGUUUAGUUAUAAAUUGUGACGUUUCGGGAGUGUGGGCUAUCUUAAUAUUUUUGGUACAGAGGCUUAACUUUGACCUUUAUGUGCAUUUUUAAACGUACAUAAAUUUUUUUUAUUCGUAUAUUUUUA